UACGGAGGGUGCAAGCGUUAGUCGGAAUUACUGGGCGUAAAGGGUGCGUAGGCGGAUGAGAAAGUCAAUCGUGAAAUUCCGAGGCUCAACCUCGGAGCUGCGACUGAAACUGUUCAUCUAGAGGGAUGGUGGAGAAAACGGAAUUCCACGUGUAGCGGUGAAAUGCGUAGAUAUGUGGAAGAACACCUGUGGCGAAGGCGGUUUUCUAACCUCCCCCAGACGCUGAGGCACGAAAGCAAGGGGAGCAAACAGG
rnacentral:rRNA from 1 species